rnacentral:ncRNA from 1 species
UUAUUAUUUUAUUUUAGUUAAUAUUUUUGUUAUUAUUUUAUUUUACAUGUAAAUUUUUGUAUGAAUUAAAUUAAUUUUUAAAAAAUUAAAUUUAUAAAUAUUUAUUCGCAGUAAUUAAUAUUAAUUAAAAAAGAAAUUUUGUAUUAGUAAUAAUAUAUAGUAUUGGUAAAAUUUGUGCCAGCUACCGCGGUUAUACAAAUAAUACAAAUAAAAAUUUUUAGUAUUAGUUAAAUGAUUAAAUUUAUAAUAUAAAUUUAAAUUUAUUAGGUGAAAUUUUUAAAUUUAUUUAUUUAUUAUUAUUAAAAAUAAUUUAAGCUAUAAACUUUUUAUAAUAAACUAGGAUUAGAUACCCUAUUAUUAAAAAUAAAUAUUUAAAUGCUAAAGUAGUAUUAGUUAUAUUCUUAAAAUUUAAAAAAUUUGGCGGUGUUUUAGUCUAUUUAGAGGAAUCUGUUCUGUAAUUGAUAAUUCACAUUGAACCUUACUUAAAUUUGUUUAAUUUGUAUAUCGCCGUCAUCAGAAUAUGUUAUAAGAUAAAAAUUUUCUAAAAAUUUAAUUUAAUAAAAUGUCAGGUCAAGGUGCAGUUUAUAUUUAAGUAGAAAUGGAUUACAAUAAUUUUAUUUAAAUGGAUAAUUUUUUGAAAUAAAGAUUUGAAGGUGGAUUUAAUAGUAAUAUAAAAGAGAUUAUUUAUAUGAUUUUAGCUCUAAAACAUGUACAUAUCGCCCAUCGUUCUUAUUUUUAAAAUAAGAUAAGUUGUAACAUAGUAGAUGUACUGGAAAGUGUAUCUAGAAAGAC